UGCUUCAAAUAUGGAAGUGCUCUCCCAGGGAAGACAGAGGGUCCCCGUGACCUGACCAGGAUGAAAGACGGACUUCUCCAUCGGAAAAGCGAAGUAUUCAGCAGAAGCUAGAGCCUGGGGUGUAGCUCCCCGGGUGACCCUGGCCCUCACGAAGGGGACACUUGUGUGUCGUCAGGCUCUUGUCUUCACAGGUGCACAGCACCCCGGUGAUUUCAGGAAAAGUGUUGCCAGUGCUGUCCAUGUCCUGCAGUCCCUGCCCGCCGGGCAGUUACUCCAGGAGACUCGGGUUUCCGCUCAGGACCUCCCACUUCCCUCUCUCCGGGCUCUGCUUUCCUCAUCUGCACAACAGUGCUCCUGGCCUGGCCUCCCUUCCAGGUGCAGAAUCAGGACAUUCAUUCAUCCAGGAUGCAUUUCCGCAAGAAGGACCAGAAGUGUCCUCUACCCAGGAAGGGAGUGACACCUUCUCACUUCCCCUGCCCCAGACAGACUGACCGACAGAUUACCUGACCUGGGAGAUAACCUUUGAGGGCCAUCCCGGCUGGCUGGAGGGUGGGGGGCAAAGUCCCUUGAAGUUCUCGAAUGCUUUCCGUCAGGCUGUUCCGGACCCUCCUUCGACAUGAGCAACGUUAUGCGGCGUGGUUAAGUGCCAGGCUCAGUGAGGUCAGGCUGCCAGGAGGCAGAAUCUGGAUCCUUCUCUGUCACCACUUGGGCACAUUAGACCGUCACUUAUCAUCUUGAAUCUUCUGCUUCCUGGGCUGAAAAAUGGAGAUAAAGGGUAGUAUCUACCUGACAGAAAUGUUGUAAGUAGUCAAUGUGAGUAAAGCGCAUAGUGCAUGAGGCAUCUGGUCGUUUGUUUAUUCAUUCGUUGAACAAACCUGCUUAUGUGGUGAGUCUAAGGCAGGUGAACUCCAAGUGCUGGCUUCUCGGGGAGCCAAGGCAGGACGGCUGUUGAGUUCUGCACAUAUUCAAUGAGCAUUUUCUAUGUCAGGGUGACACUGGCUGUCUUCCCAUGUAUGUCAGCCUAUCGAAGCCUGUGUGAUCCUGUUCAGCCCUUGCUGAAGCUCUGUGAGGCA
rnacentral:lncRNA from 1 species